AGAAUCAACGCUGGCGGCGUGCCUAACACAUGCAAGUCGAACGCGAAAGCCCCGCAAGGGUGAGUAGAGUGGCAAACGGGUGAGUAACACGUGGGUGAUCUGCCUCAGAGUGGGGGAUAACGACCCGAAAGGGUCGCUAAUACCGCAUAACAUCCUGCCUUUGGAUAGGUGGAGAUCAAAGCCGGGGAUCCGCAAGGACCAGGCGCUUAGAGAGGAGCCCGCGGCCGAUUAGCUAGUUGGUGAGGUAACGGCUCACCAAGGCGACGAUCGGUA
rnacentral:rRNA from 1 species